rnacentral:tRNA from 2 species
GGGUAGAUGUCUGAGCGGUCUAAAGAGACGGUCUUGAAAACCGUUGAGGUGCAAGCCUCCGCGAGUUCGAAUCUCGCUCUGCCCGCCA